rnacentral:rRNA from 1 species
CCUACGGGCGGCAGCAGUGGGGGAUAUUGCACAAUGGGGGGAACCCUGAUGCAGCGACGCCGCGUGGGUGAAGAAGCGCCUCGGCGCGUAAAGCCCUGUCAGCAGGGAAGAAAAUGACGGUACCUGAAGAAGAAGCCCCGGCUAACUACGUGCCAGCAGCCGCGGUAAUACGUAGGGGGCAAGCGUUAUCCGGAUUUACUGGGUGGAAAGGGGGCGCAGACGGCGAUGCAAGCCAGGAGUGAAAGCCCGGGGCCCAACCCCGGGACGGCUCUUGGAACUGCGUGGCUGGAGUGCAGGAGGGGCAGGCGGAAUUCCUGGUGUAGCGGUGAAAUGCGUAGAUAUCAGGAGGAACACCGGUGGCGAAGGCGGCCUGCUGGACUGCAACUGACGUUGAGGCCCGAAAGCGUGGGGAGCAAACAGGAUUAGAUACCCCAGUAGUC